CCUACGGGAGGCAGCAGUAGGGAAUCUUCCGCAAUGGACGAAAGUCUGACGGAGCAACGCCGCGUGAGUGAUGAAGGCUUUCGGGUCGUAAAACUCUGUUGUUAGGGAAGAACAAGUACGAGAGUAACUGCUCGUACCUUGACGGUACCUAACCAGAAAGCCACGGCUAACUACGUGCCAGCAGCCGCGGUAAUA
rnacentral:rRNA from 1 species